CUCUCUUCUCAUCACCAUCGAACUCCAUCUCUUCACCUUCGGCUUGCUCUUCCUCUCACAGGUGGCUGAACUGGUGCGUCUAGGCAGCUAGAAGUGGCUCACUAGGAUCUGUUCUCCCUUUGCUGUCAUCUUUUGCUUAUCCAUCCAGAACAGAGCUUGCUUCCUUCACCAAUCUCGACCACGUGCUGAUCUUGAAUUGUCAUUGAUGUACUGUAGUUUGAGGUCCAAGCGAAGGAUCCAAUAGUAGAUGGGAAAAAGAGCCAAACUAGGAGUUUGCUUGUGAUUUAUAAAGAACAACAUCCCCUUUUCUUUUGAGCAAGUAUAUUGUAAUGUAUUUAGGAUUAGGGUGCUAGUAGAAUG